UAACAUUUGAACACAAAGCUUUGUGAGAUACAACUAUUUUUGUAGUUAAAAAAUUUAACAAAUAAUGCUGUUAAGCUGACGCAAAUUCCAAUCAAUGAAACAAUAUGAGCGCAUUGUAACAAGUCAAUUUUGAAAAGUGAUAAACCCCAUUAUAAAUCGAGUCAUUUAUUGGUAACCAAGUUACUACCAAGUAAACACAAUCAACUAAAUCAACAUCACUCACCAAUGAUGAUGAUGGUGAUGAUGAAUCAAUGACGGUUAUGAUUAUGCUUUGGAUAACGAUGGACCAUGACACAAUGAUACCUGAACAUGCACACACAAAAUAUACUCUCAAACAAAUGGAUGGCGAAAAAAAAAAUCACGCUAAUUCGAUAAAAAGAAAGGAACUGGCCAUUUCAAGAGAAGAGAUAUUACAAAAGAUAAUGAAAUGGUUUACCAACUUGAAGCUUCUACAUCAACCUAAACUCGCAAGAUUUGGUCAAAGUCCUUGAAAGGAUGAAAACACAAUCGUUAAUAUUGGCAUGGAAGGGAAAAAGAAAGUACUCUUCAAUGGAUUGGAUGAAUUUGUUCAUGAUGAAUUAACCAAAACGAAAAAGGACAAAACAAAGGAAACCAAAGAGGAUACCAAAUCUGCAGGCCUCUAAAUUUUUGGCUUAUACAACUCACUACAUAAACCAGCAGACAAACAAACGAUUCUACCUUCUCUUCCUCAUAUUACCGUACCUCGAUAAUAUAAUUAUAUACAUAUAUAUAUAUAUAAAUAUAAGCACAAAACUGUUCACCAUGCCAACUAUUAAUCUAACAAGCCUCACUUUCACCACCAGUAAAACCACUACUCGAUACACUCUCACACUUGAUUGUAACCACUCAACUCAAAUUGCAACGGCCUUGUCAACCAUUCACAAAACAGCCUUGUUUUUAUUUUCUACUUUGUCUCACUCUUUUCAAAUCAAACUACACUUUAUUCACUCCUUCAAUUUUACUCUUUUACCUUUUCAUCUAUCUUUCUUUCUUCUUCUCUCUCUCUCUUACCUACAACCUCUUUCUAUCAUCGAUCACACAUUUUAUGAUACUAAUCAUCAACAUCAUCAUCAUAGUCACCAUCAUUUUACGCUCAUCAUCGGCAUCAAGUUUCAUAUAUGUGUAUUUAUAUACAUAUAUACAAAUCUAAAUGUAUAUAUACAAAAAGAUAUUGAAUUAAAAGUGAAGAGAAAAAUAUAAA